UAUUGGACAAUGGGGGCAACCCUGAUCCAGCCAUGCCGCGUGAGUGAUGAAGGCCUUCGGGUUGUAAAGCUCUUUUGGCGGGGACGAUGAUGACGGUACCCGCAGAAUAAGCCCCGGCUAGCUCCGUGCCAGCAGCCGCGGUAAGACGAAGGGGGCUAGCGUUGUUCGGAAUUACUGGGCGUAAAGCGCGUGUAGGCGGUUGUCCAAGUUGGAUGUGAAAGCCUUGAGCUUAACUCAAGAAAUGCAUUCAGGACUGGGUGACUAGAGGACCGGAGAGGAUAGUGGAAUUCCCAGUGUAGUGGUGAAAUACGUAGAGAUUGGGAAGAACACCAGUGGCGAAGGCGGCUAUCUGGACGGUUCUACGCUAAGACGCGAA
rnacentral:rRNA from 1 species